rnacentral:rRNA from 1 species
AUUGAACGCUGGCGGCAGGCCUAACACAUGCAAGUCGAACGAGUGGCGGACGGGUGAGUAAUGUCUGGGAAACUGCCUGAUGGAGGGGGAUCACUACCGGAAACGGAAGCUAAUACCGCAUACCUUCUCAUGUGCCCAGUUGGGAUUAGCUAGUGGGUGGGGUAACGGCUCACCAAGGCGACGAACCGUAGCUGGUCUGAGAGGAUGAACAGCCACACUGGAACUGAGACACGGUCCAGAAUCCUACGGGAGGCAGCAGUGGGGAAUAUUGCACAAUGGGCGCAAGCCUGAUGCAGCCAUGCCGCGUGUAUGAAGAAGGCCUUCGGGUUGUAAAGUACUUUCAGCGGGGAGGCGUUACCCUCAGAAGAAGCACCGGCUAACUCCGUGCCAGCAGCCGCGGUAAUUC